UACGGUUGGUUUUUCUAGUGUGAAAGCAAAAGUAAAGAGAAACUGAUGAGAACAAGCAAAUGGCCUCCUGAGUUUUACUACUAAGGGAUACGUGAUGCGUAUAUAUAUACACACAGAGAGACAUACAUACACACACACAUAUAUAUGUAUAGAAGGGCUGUUCUGAAAGUAUGCCCCCUUUCUUAUUAUGUUGGGCUGUGACACCAGAGGAGGAUGUUGGCAGUUUGACAGUAGAGGUAGAACCUUCCCACCAGUAUUCCAUUCCAUUUUGAUGGCAGCAUAGAGACAGUCUGACAAAAUGGUGUCUCAGGCAGAAGUGCAUAUGAAGUAAAGCUCAGCUGAGACACAGAAAUUGCUGACAGAUUGUGGAUUUGCCAGUGUUUGUUGAUGGCAGAGUUCCUUAAUCCACUUUACCAUGUGGUCUAAAACUGUAUCAGAAUUGAAGCUGAGGGAUGAAAGAACAGGCUGACUGGGAGGAAGAAGCCAUGCUGCAGGAAGCUGGAAGUAGAAGAAAAGGAAAGAGCAGCAGAAGUUACUGCUGCUUAAGUACUAGCAUAAGGAAAGCAUUGCCACAAGAUAUAGCUCGUGCACCUGGUGGUAAUCAGAAACCAAAUGCAAAACAUUAAAAGGUACCAAACUGGU